GGAGAGGUGCCGGAGCGGUCGAACGGGACGGUCUCGAAAACCGUUGUCCCCCUGCCGGGGGACCGUGGGUUCGAAUCCCACCCUCUCCG
rnacentral:tRNA from 1 species